UGAGGAAUAUUGGUCAAUGGGCGCAAGCCUGAACCAGCCAUCCCGCGUGCAGGAAGACGGCGCUAUGCGUUGUAAACUGCUUUUCCAGGGAGAGAAACUUGCGCACGUGUUGCGCAACUGACGGUACCCUGGGAAUAAGCAUCGGCUAACUCCUGCCAGCAGCCGCGGUAAUACGGAGGAUGCGAGCGUUAUCCGGAUUCAUUGGGUUUAAAGGGUGCGUAGGCGGACUAUUAAGUCAGUGGUGAAAUCCUGCAGCUUAACUGCAGAACUGCCAUUGAUACUGAUAGCCUUGAGUUUGGUUAAGGUAGGCGGAAUGUGUAAUGUAGCGGUGAAAUGCUUAGAUAUUACACAGAACACCAAUUGCGUAGGCAACUUACUGAGCCGACACUGACGCUGAGGCACGAAAGCGUGGGGAUCGAACAG
rnacentral:rRNA from 1 species